rnacentral:rRNA from 1 species
CCUACGGGAGGCAGCAGUAGGGAAUAUUGGACAAUGGGGGAAACCCUGAUCCAGCAAUGCCGCGUGUGUGAAGAAGGCCUGCGGGUUGUAAAGCACUUUUGUCCGGGAAGAAAGGACCUGACCUAAUACGUUGGGGGGAUGACGGUACCGGAAGAAUAAGCACCGGCUAACUUCGUGCCAGCAGCCGCGGUAAUACGAAGGGUGCAAGCGUUAAUCGGAAUUACUGGGCGUAAAGGGUGCGUAGACGGCCUGUUAAGUCGACUGUGAAAGUCCUGGGCUCAACCUGGGGACUGCAGUUGAUACUGGGAGGCUUUGAGUUUGGGAGAGGGUGGUGGAAUUCCCGGUGUAGCGGUGAAAUGCGUAGAGAUCGGGAGGAACAUCCGUGGCGAAGGCGGCCACCUGGCCUGAAACUGACGUUGAGGCACGAAAGCGUGGGGAGCAAACAGGAUUAGAUACCCUGGUAGUCCACGCCCUAAACGAUGAUCACUGGACGUUGGGAGGAAUUGACCUCUUAGUGUCGAAGCUAACGCGUGAAGUGAUCCGCCUGGGGAGUACGCUCGCAAGAGUGAAACUCAAAGGAAUUGACGG